AGGCAGCCCCUUUGCCACAUCCACUGGCAUCGGAGGUGUUAUUUUGCUCGGAGAAAACACACAGCUUUUGCUCUUCAGAUUGGCUGAGAGGAAGGGGCUUUUCCCUUUCUGCCCUGAUGCUGGUCUAGUAGGCCUAAGUACAUC